GAAGCUUGCAGUUUUAUGAGAGCUCUGUCCUUGGGAACUGUUCACCAGAGAUGAGUAGAGCCGCUUCGAGCUUUGCAAAAUUAGUACAAACAUAAGCUUUCCUGCCAUGUACCACUGUGAAGGAUCUGGCUCUGUCUCCUUGCUGGAAUCCUUGUAGGUACAAGGAGCUGGUUCAGGUGGUUCAUGGCCAUCUCUUCUCCAGGCUGAACAAGCCUCACUCCCCCAGCCUCUCCUGACAGGACAAGUGCUUCCAAAUUGCUGUUGGAAAUCCC
ensembl:lncRNA